rnacentral:lncRNA from 1 species
AUCUACCUUUUUGAUAGGAGGAAGACAAUUAUGUUGGCUUCCCAUGGCACUUUCCAAAUUUGGCAUAAUGCAGUACAGCAUCUGGUUUGUUGAAAACUGGCCAAAGGAAGUACUUGAGUAAUCCCAAAUUGCACACCAAACACAUAAGCAGCAAACUUGAAAGAACAGAAGAUCCAGAAGAGAAAGAGAAGAAACCGUGGGAACAAAACCGCUAACUAUAAUGUCAGUACUAGAGAUAAUGAGUUUCUAAUAGUGCCCCAUCCAUAUACAUGUACUCAAAUAUGGAUUAUCUAGAAAUAUGACUAUCAGUUUCUGCCCAAAUUCUCUUGACAUCAUCUGAGAAAUUUCACAAACUAGCUCUAGACCAUUAGAGUAAAAAUACAUUCCAAACGCAUAAAUCACAACUUCCAAAAUUUAAGUAAACAA